rnacentral:lncRNA from 1 species
CAAUAUUUCCUAUAAUCAUCCAGGUAACUGGGUCAUAUAGUCAUUUUGAUUGCUUUUGAGUCUCUCAGGCAAUCAGAUCAUCAAUAUCUAGUCCAUAACAAUAAUCUUUUCGCUGCUUUGAGCAUAGUUUGUCUUUGAGUUUCAUUGAGAAGAAUCAUCAGCUGAUUUUGAUUUCUCCGGUGAGAUCUUGCUAAAUUCAAUUUUCUCAGAAAUAAUUGUUAAUUCUUCUGGAGUUUUGCAUUGGUUUAGCAUAGCCAAGAUUCUUGAUUUUUCAUGAAGAAAAUCGGCAUAUUUUUCUUGAUCUUUUUUGGAAAUCUUUGGAAGGCCAAUAUUUUUCUGUUCUUGAAUCCACGAGCUGGCAACUUUAGGAUAGCAAUUCGUUUCAUGAAAUUUUAAACACCAUUUGAUUUUGAAUCUCGAACAAUUUUUUUGACAUUGAAUUUGGAGCUUGUAUUUUGAAUAAUAUGGAAAUCUCAACAGAAAAUCCAUGAGACUUUGAGAUUUAGUGCAAAUUGAACUAAAAGAUUUUCUUGAGGCUCAAAUUCGUUUUUGCCUCAUUUUGAAAGCGUUCGAACGAGUGAGAUUGGUAAAAUCAUUUCGUCAAGACAAAAGUAAUCAAACCAUGUUUGAAACCAUUUUUGAAAACUUGUAAAACCAGCCUUAUUGAAAAGGGUAAACCAGGAACGGGUCACUUGUCUAAAAUAAAAAAUAUAAAAAUAUUAAACUAGGCGUCCUUAUAAACAAGAUAAUUGAAACAUGAUUCGAAUGUAUCAUCUUUUGAUAAUCUCAUUCACUUCUAUUCCAAUGGUUGCUGUCCCCAUCUUCAUACGACAAAAUCCUUUGAAUUGAAAUUUUUGAAAAAUUAAUUUUUUCAGGAUUUUGAGAAUUUGGGGUAUGAGUUAUUAUGGCAGAUCUUGAUUUAAUUAGGAUAGCUUCAUAAUAAGUCCGAGUCUUUUUGAUGUUUCUGGGCAUAAAAUGAAAUUGAGGGGGAAAAUGUCUUGAAGACAUUCAUCAAGGGAUGAAUAUACAUGGGUCCAUGAGGCUUCCAUUUCAAAAAGGGAUAUUGAGUGGGGUUAGUAAAAUAAUGAAAAGAUGUUUGAGGGUUGAUAUUGAGUAAUUUUCCAGAUCGAGUUAAAAUGGCUUUUUUUUUUUUGGAAUUGAUGGUUUUGCUUUAUCUAGAAUGUUUUUGCUUUGAGAGAUAUUUUGGGAAGGAUUUUUUGAAACAAGGGUAGUUUUCUGAGAAGUAGAGGAAGAUCCAUGAGAGUUUUAAAUAUAAUCUCCUAUUGAGAGUAAAGACAAUGAAGUCUUUUUCUUAUUUUUCUUUGAGGAUGAGGAAUCCGUUUUGAGUAUUCUCACCAAUAUUUCACUCAGGAAGUAUUUUGUUGCAGAAACACUCUUGUUAAGAAAUCUACGAGAUAGUUUGAUUUACCUUGUAUAUAUUGAAUUUUGAAAUCAAAAAAUGAUAAAAUGGCUUGCUAUCUUGUGAAAAUUUGUUCUGAAACAAGGGUUUUUUUACAUCUGUUUUUAAAACAUCUUCUGAGGCUUUACAAUCUUUUUUAAAAUCAAUUCUUUGAAACACUUAAAACAAUAGAUAAAAUUUCUUUUUUGAUGGUUGAGAUUCUCUUUUAGGGCAAGUCCAUAUUCUACUGUGAAACCUAAUCAACUGUUCUUAAUUUGAUGAUUUUGGAAUUUGCUUUAGUACCCCACCAUAGCCAAUGUGUGAUUCAUGUGUAUCAACAACAAUGGAUGCAAGUGGGUCUAUAAUUGAAAGGCAUGAGAUGCUUUUGGUAGCUUCUUUACCUUUCCGUACAACUGGAGUAUGCUUGUGACUCCAUGAUGCAGAUGCUUUUGUAGUCUUUUGAAAAGAGGGGCACAUAUUAGCCUUUUAUUUUUAACGAAGUCUAACAUGUAAUUAACAAACCUAAGAAUCUUUAUGGGCUUGAUUUAUCUAAGAUUUUAUUAGGAAAUAUGUCGGCAAAAUCUAGAUUUCUUUGAAUAAGAGCAAUGGUUCCUAAGUGGAUAUUGUGUCCUAGAAACCUGACGCUUGUUUGACAUAUAACAACUUUUUUAGCAGAAGCUAAUAAUGUUAUAAUCCACUCACUCAUAGUCAAAGUCAAGAAAAUUAUUUAGUCAAAGUCCAAAAUUCAAUUGGUCAAAGUCAAUGUCAAAUAGGGAUUUAAAUGAAAUAAAUUAUUCUAUUGGGGUUUAAUUUAUUAUGAAAAAUAGAUAAAGGUUUAAAAUGGAUAAAACUUAAUUUUAGGAAUCUACUUAUAUAUUAUUGGAAGUAAAGGACUAGAUGUUAUAUUAAAUUGAAGAAUAAGGACUUCCUUUGCAAAAAUAAGUUAGUGGAGUCCAAAUGUCCAAAUUUUAAUCCCAUUGCUGACUCUUCAUUUGCAUACAUAUGUAUAGAAGAAUUGGAGAUGGCAGGAAGAAGAUCCGAGAGAAAGGAAGAAAAAGAGAAAGAAAAGAAAAAAAAAAAAAGAGGAAGAAGAAAGAAGAAAAAAUAGAAUUUUUUUGCCAAGUUGUUAGAUAAUAAGUGGUCUACAUUACUAGACUUGAAUUCUUUAAUUUUGAAUGGUAAGUAAAAAGUUACUUAUUAUCAAGUUAUGUUUGAUUUUAUAGUUGUUAGAUUAAAUUUAAUUUUAUUGAAGGGGUUAAGUGUAAUAAACUAUGAAAUUGAGUAGGAUGAAAGAAAAACUAGUUUUAGUUAUUAAAGAGACUAUAGAAAUCGCACAAACGUGAAAUAAUUAAGUUUGGGUAUCGCCUAUUUAAUUAUUGAAAUUAUUUAAAUAAUUAAUUGUUUAUUUAAAAAUUAUAUCGUAUUUCAGGCGACGAUACUGACAUUAUAACAGCUUACCAACCCAAAUUGAUUUUGCGAACGUAGUUUUGUGAGUGGAAAAAUAUAAAUAUUUUAAAGUAUUUAUAAAUUAAGUAUAUUGUUAAAGUAUAUGCAAUUAUGUGUUCGAAUUACAUGGUCAUUAUGAAAAUAUCUUUUAUUAUGAUACAUGUGAGAUUUCAACGAUUGUAUACGUUACAUUGUGAAUUGGAAUAUGAGAUAUGAUUUUGAGAUCGACCAGAAAAGUACCCAUGAUUAUAUAUUUCUUCUAGUUCACAAAGGGCCCUUGGUCGUGUUCUAUCCUACACGGAGGGUCUUGACCUGUCAUUGAUCUUGAUUGUGUACAUAUAGUUCACGGAGGGGCAUUGACUGUAUUCUAGAAUUGAUUAUGAGAGGUCCUUGAGACCGACUUUUGUUCACGGAGGGGGCCAAAGGCUCAUGGCGAAAGUUCUUAGCCCAAGAGGUGGAUUACAUAUUUCAGUUAGAGGGUACAUUUUUGGUGAAUUUUUCAGUACGUUUGAUGUGAUGAGAUUAUAGCAUGGUUAUCAGUUGAUGUUUAUAUUAUGAUUUUGAGAUGAUAUUUUAUGACCUUAUGUGAAUAUUUCACUUUUUGUUAUAAUUACAUGAUGUUAUCUUGUGAAUUAUUAAAUGAUAUGAACUCGAUUUUCGAUAGAAAUGUAAAAUUGAAAAAGUAUAAUUAUUUUCGAACUAUUCACUCACUGAGUUGUCAACUCAUUUAUUUUCCCACGAUUUUUCCUACAGGUAGCAAUUGAUUCUUUUUAACUGGAAGAGCCUAAUGAUUUUGGAAUGAGAGCCAUACGACAUGUUGAAUAUUAUAACUCAUAUUGAUGAAGCACGAAGUAAAUAUUUUGGGCCCAUCUCAUUAUAUUUUGCAUUUCAUUUGAUUUUGGUGCAUAUUUUGAAAUAACUCAUAAUCAGCAUUGGUGAUAGAUUUGACAUCUAGUCAGCAUUUAUCAUCGACGCACGUCGCGUUUCAGGUCCAUUAUGGUGAUUCAGGACGGGUCGUGUCAAAGUGGUAUCAGAGCAUGGUUUCGAAAAAUUUUAUGGUUCAUGCAUAUUCAGUGGAUAUGAUCACAUGUCGUGGUGGCAGAAAUCACAAGCUCUCUAGCUCAAAUGCAUAGAACCAAAAAUGAUAGAAAGAUAUUUUUAACAGAUCCAGAAAAGACUAGUAUAUAAGUAUGGUAGUUGCAAUGAUCCGAUAGUUGGAAAUGUAACUAGUUGUUAGGUUGGGACUAUGUGUGUAUGCAACCCAUUAAGAUCUGAACAGAUUGUGAUGAUUUUGCGGGGGCAUUCGAAGUUACAAAUGUUACGACCACUUAAUUAUCAACUUAUAUGUAGAACUACAUGAUUUUUUAUGUAUACACGGG